CGUAGGAUGCAAGCGUUGUCCGGAUUUAUUGGGCGUAAAGAGUUCGUAGGUGGUUCGUUAAGUCUGAUGUUAAAGACCGGGGCUCAACUUCGGGACUGCAUUGGAUACUGGCGGACUUGAGUGUGGUAGAGGCAAUCGGAAUUCCAGGUGUAGCGGUGAAAUGCGUAGAUAUCUGGAAGAACACCGGUGGCGCAAGCGGAUUGCUGGGCCAUAACUGACACUGAGGAACGAAAGCUAGGGUAGCGAAUGGGAUUAGAUACCCCAGUAGUCCUAGCCGUAAACGAUGGAUACUAGGCGUAUCGGGUAUCGACCCCUGAUGUGCCGCAGCUAACGCGAUAAGUAUCCCGCCUGAGUAGUACGGCCGCAAGGUUG
rnacentral:rRNA from 1 species